rnacentral:rRNA from 1 species
CCUGUCUCAGUUCGGAUUGGAGUCUGCAACCCGACUCCAUGAAGCUGGAUUCGCUAGUAAUCGCGCAUCAGCCACGGCGCGGUGAAUACGUUCCCGGGCCUUGUACACACCGCCCGUCAAGCCAUGGGAGCCGGGGGUGCCUGAAGGCCGUGACCGCGAGGAGCGGCCUAGGGUAAAACUGGUGACUGGGGCUAAGUCGUAACAAGGUACC